GAUGAACGCUGGCGGCGUGCCUAAUACAUGCAAGUCGAGCGAACAGAUAAGGAGCUUGCUCCUUUGACGUUAGCGGCGGACGGGUGAGUAACACGUGGGUAACCUACCUAUAAGACUGGGAUAACUUCGGGAAACCGGAGCUAAUACCGGAUAAUAUUUCGAACCGCAUGGUUCGAUAGUGAAAGAUGGUUUUGCUAUCACUUAUAGAUGGACCCGCGCCGUAUUAGCUAGUUGGUAAGGUAACGGCUUACCAAGGCGACGAUACGUAGCCGACCUGAGAGGGUGAUCGGCCACACUAGAACUGAGACACGGUCCAGACUCCUACGGGAGGCAGCAGUAGGGAAUCUUCCGCAAUGGGCGAAAGCCUGACGGGGCAACGCCGCGUGAGUGAUGAAGGUCUUCGGAUCGUAAAACUCUGUUAUUAGGGAAGAACAUACGUGUAAGUAACUGUGCACGUCUUGACGGUACCUAAUCAGAAAGCCACGGCUAACUACGUG
rnacentral:rRNA from 1 species